rnacentral:rRNA from 1 species
GGGAACUCUGGUGACAGGUGGUGCAUGGUUGUCGUCAGCUCGUGUCGUGAGAUGUUGGGUUAAGUCCCGCAACGAGCGCAACCCUUGUCUUUAGUUGCCAUCAUUAAGUUGGGCACUCUAGAGAGACUGCCAGGGAUAACCUGGAGGAAGGUGGGGAUGACGUCAAAUCAUCAUGCCCCUUA